GGACCAAACUCCUACGGGAGGCAGCAGUGAGGAAUAUUGGUCAAUGGACGAGAGUCUGAACCAGCCAAGUCGCGUGAAGGAAGACGGAUCUAUGGUUUGUAAACUUCUUUAGUGCGGGAACAAAGCGGCGUCGUGACGCCUGAUGAGUGUACCGCAAGAAUAAGCAUCGGCUAACUCCGUGCCAGCAGCCGCGGUAAUACGGAGGAUGCGAGCGUUAUCCGGAUUUAUUGGGUUUAAAGGGAGCGCAGGCUGCGAGGCAAGUCAGCGGUCAAAUGUCGGGGCUCAACCCCGGCCUGCCGUUGAAACUGUCCUGCUAGAGUUCGAGUGAGGUAUGCGGAAUGCGUUGUGUAGCGGUGAAAUGCAUAGAUAUGACGCAGAACUCCGAUUGCGAAGGCAGCAUACCAACUCGCGACUGACGCUGAGGCUCGAAAGCGUGGGUAUCGAACAGGAUUAGAUACCCUGGUAGUCCACGCAGUAAACGAUGAAUACUAACUGUUCGGAGGGCGACCUCUGAGUGGUAAAGCGAAAGCGUUAAGUAUUCCACCUGGGGAGUAC
rnacentral:rRNA from 1 species